UCAAUUUUGCUCGUUGUAAUUUUGAAAUCGUGUGAUUGUAGUUUUUUAAAUAAAUCCUGUUCUCGGAUUCUGAUAUUUUAAAGAGUCUGUCUACAAACAAGAAAAAUCAAACAAGUGAUAACUUUGCACCUCGUGGUUAACAUUAUAUUCUUCUUAAUAACAUUUCAGUAUUGGUAACAUAACCUUGAAAGCUUUACAAAAUGUUUAAUUCUUCAAAAUUAUCUGAUUCGCCCAGUUACUUUAAAACAAACUUGACGAAUAUUAGAGACGAAACCAUAAAUGACACGAGUAGAAAUAUUCUAUUUCCGAAAAUUACUUCCACACCUUUAAACAGCAUUUUUGCAACUCCACCCAAGAACAAAAUAAUGACUCCCAGGAGAUAUUCUUUAUCAGAAGUGGCCACCCCACCAAGACACAACAGGAGAGAAUAUGUCCGAUCAACUACCUCUAAAUAUCAGCCAGGUCCGUUGUUAGCCUCCACAAAGUUUAAUUUAAGUGUUAGCACAUUUGAAGAUGCAAAAAGCCCAGGAUUAGUAAAUAGGAUUGUACAGUAUAACGAAGAAACAGAAAGACAAAAAGAACAAAGACGUCCUGUGACACACCAGGAAAAAUAUGGCAGUGUUGGACUGUUUCCUGUAGUACAUCUUUUCAAAAACAAGUUGCCUACCUUGCAAAAGAAACCUAGACAUGUAACUGUUCGUGUGGCAAGCCCAGAUUAUGUGAAACAUACUCCAGAAUACAAUAGAAAGUUAUUAGAAGGUCUAGUCAAUCCAACUGGAGGGAACCAUACUUUAUUAAACUCAAGACAUUCUGGAAACUCCACUAGUACUAGAAGUGUACUUGAUGCUCUAAAAGAAAUAUCUAGGAAAAGAAUACAUGCAAAUGAGGAGUUGGAAUUAAGAAAAGACGCAGGAAAAAGACUUAGAACAGAUAAUGAUGACCAUGUUGAUUCUAGUAAAAGGUUAAGAGAUGAAUCCCUCCUCCAGGAAAAUACAAGUCCUUCAAAACCAGUUUCUAAGAAAAUCUGCAUGUAUGAUGAAUAUGCAGCUUCUAGAUCAUCUAUGGAUUUUGCCUUUAAAAGAACAGAAUCCACACAACCUAAAAGAAAAUCCAUAAGUAUAAGUACAUUGACUGAAAAUCCAAAACAAACAAAAGAAAUAAAACUGCAAAAUGCUGAAACUCAGACUCUAGAAGAAGUAUCAAGUAUUGGUAAUACAAGUACAAAUAAAACUACUGAUGAAGAUGCUAGUAAAGAAGAUUUAGAAAAUAAGCAAGAUGAAAAUGUAGGAUUAAAUGAUGAAGUUUUUGAUGAAGGUACUUUAUCGGUAGUAAGGGAAAAUAGAUUGGCAUCUUUUAUAGGAACCCUUAUUGGAAAAGAUCCUGUGUUAGAGCGUAGUUAUAAAGACUUAUGUAGAGAUGAAGUUGAUGAGGUGGAACCUGAAACAGAAGCAACAACUACUAAUGCAGGAAAACCACUUGUAGGAAUUUUAUCGCCUGCGCAAAAAUCAACCAAGAAAAUUGAGAAACAUGUAACAUUUAAAAUUCCAGAAAGUACUUCACAGAAUAUUGAAACUUCUGCAGCAACAAGUACUGAACAUUCAGUUGGUAAAGCUACAGAGAAACAAGAACAAAAAGUACUGCCACAAUCUUCAGUGGCAAGUAAAGGUGAUGGUAUUUCAAUAAGACAUGGCGGCUUACUAUUUCAUGGAGAUAGCUCUGGUUCUUCACAAGUACCGUGUACCAGUGCCACAUUUGUAAAUGCUAAUACACCAUCUUCAAUUCCAUUUACUCCAAAAUCUCUAAGUGCUGAUGCUCCUAAAACUAUUCCCAGUUUUAAUUUUGGUAAUAAACCUGCAAUUUCUUCACCAUCAUCCACGCUUACUGCUAGUCCACCAAAGAUGGGUGGAUUCAAAUUUGACUUAUCUAAACCUGCAGCCUCAGCUGUUGAUUCAAAAGUUGUUAGCAGUUCUACUACCCCUAAUGUAACACUUACUGCACAACCAACAAAUACUACACCAGCACAGUUCUCUUUUGGUCCUAAAACUUCUAAUACUUUUGGCACUAGUAUACCAGCGUUAAAUUCAACUGUUAGCACAUUUACUUCAGCAGUUGAAACUACCACUGCUGGAUCCACAGUUACUGCAAGCAUUCCACCAAUUACUUCAGUACUCUCAGCUCCACAAAAUCAAACAUUUGCAGUGUCCUCCACUGCUAGUAAUAAACCAACUUUUGCCUUUGGAACAAGUUCAUCCCCCCCAAACAGCUCUUUUAACUUUGGUGCAAAAUCAGAACCUUCAACAACAUCAAGUAGUUUUGGUACUCUAUUUGGUGCUACAUCAAUUAAUACUAUCACUACUUCUGCUACUACUAGUUUUAACACUUCUACUUCUGUUGCAAAUAAAGAUUUAAUUACAAGUUCAACAGCUACAAAUAGUUUUGGUACCACAUCGACAGUUCCCGCUUUUGGAAAUGCUAACAACAGUUUUCAACUUCCUAAAACAGAAAAUGCAGGUUUUAAUAAUUCUUCAACUGCAACAAAUACCAGUGCUUUUGGUGGACAAAAUACUGUUAGUUUUGGUACUGCAACUACGACUUCUAGUGGUUUUGGUAAUGUUUCUAGUUUUGGAAACAAUACUGGACCUGGCUUUGGCACAACUGGAUUUGGAAGUACCACAGCUUCAGGAUUUGGAACUACCACAACCCCAGCUUUUGGAACUACUACAACUCCAACGCCAGGUUUUGGUACUACUACAACUCCAGCUUUUGGAACUACCGCAACUCCAACACCAGCGUUUGGUGCGACUACAACUCCAACACCAGCUUUUGGAACUACUACAACUCCAACACCAGCUUUUGGAACUACCACAACUCCAACGCCAGGUUUUGGUACUACUACAACUCCACCUCCAGCUUUUGGAAAUACUACAACUCCAAAUUCAGCUUUUGGUACUAACCCAACUCCAGCCUCACCUUUUGGAGGUGCUACCAAUACAGGAUUUGCCACUGCCACAACAGGUUUUGGCAGUACUCCUUCUGGUUUUGGUGUGGCUACAACAACAUCUUCGAAUUUUGGUUCUACAGGUAGUAAUGUGUUUGGAGUAACAACUACCAGUUCUGGAUUUGGAGGUACUUUUACUUCUCCAGCAAAUUUGAACUCUCCUUUUGGUAGCAAUACAUCAGUCAACAGUAACUUCGGUGUUUCAACUACUUCUGCUGGUGGAUUUGGUACUUCUAAUACUACAAAAUCAAAUACUGCCGGUUUUGGUAGCACAACAAGUUUCAAUUUUGGUCCUACAACUACUACAGCUAGCACUGGUUUUGGAGGUUCUACCACUACAACACAAGGAUUUGGCACCACAACAGCACCUGCAUUUGGAACAACUCCUGGUUCUAUAUUUGCAAGUACUAAUGUUCCUAGUUUUGGAACUACAGGAUCUUCAUUUUCAGAAGCACCUUUUGGGGCUGCUACUACAAGUACUCCAGCAUUUGGAACUACUACAACAACACCUUCAUUCAGUUUUGGUGGCAACAACAAACAUUUUGGAGGAGGAGCAAAUACAGCUUUUGGUGCACCAACAACUACUACCAAUUCUGUGUUUGGUACUACUCAGAGUCCAUUUGGAAGUGGUAUGCCAACUACUUCUACUUCAGCCCUUCCAUUUGCAUUUACAGCCAAAGUCACCACCAGUAGUACAUUUCCUUCAACAAAUACUUCAACCACUUCUUUUGGAAACAACUUUGGUCAAACUAAUUCCGCUUUUGGGACACAAAAUUCUGGUUUUGGUACUCAAAAUAAAGCUCCAGCUUUUGGUAAUAAUGCUACACCUGCUUUUGGAAGCUCUGUCCCCACCCAAGGCUUUGGAACUUCAGCUCAGCCAUCACAACCUUUUGGCAGUUCAGGUUCCGUCUUCAACAAACCACAGGCCGCUCCACAGAAUGCAUUUAAUUCUUCUCAAUUCAACUUCAAUCAACAGCAGAACGCUGCUCCCAACCAAGCCGGGGUGUUUACAUUUGGAGCGGGAGCGAACGAAAAACCGGGAGGAUUCAAUUUCAGUGGAGCUGCAUCAGGCGAAACUCCCAAAAAAUUCGACUUCACGGGCGGUAGUACCGCUGCACCAGCUUUCGGUACUGCUUUUGGUACUACACCUGCAGUUCCAGCAUUUGGAGCAGCACCUGCGACAGGCGGUUUUAGUAUUGGCUCUGGGCCCAGGCCAAGGAAACAAGUUACUGCGAAGAGAAGAACUUGAUUGACAAAGAUGUUGUAAAAGGAAAAGUACAAUGGAAAAGUGAGUUACGGAAUAAUUUUUAAUAAAGGUAUUUUGUGAUCUGAUUCUUUAUUUGGCCCAUUUUAUCUACAAAUACUUGCUGAUGUAUUUUAAAAAUGUUAACUGUCAAACCGGUUUAGAGAAAUGUGUUAUUUUAUUUAAAUUUAACAACCUUUGUCUGUCAAGGAGUCAGAAUUUGUCGAUUAUAUUACAGAUCUACGUUUGACAGGUUCGAUUAAAGCCUGGUCGCUUAAUAUGUAAAUAAUAUAUAUACUUUUUAUUUUUAACUGAUUGUAAAAAAUUAGUUGAUGUAAAUGUAAACGAUUUUAUGAUUAAAUUAUCCUCAAAAAGUGUUUGAAAGGUUCUUUUUUAUUUUUGUAAUAAAUAUACUUGACAUUAUUUUGUCCCAGUUCUCUUUAUAUACCUUAUUUAUUUUAACUGGUUUCUUUAAAAAAUGUUUUUUAAAAAAUAUCAAAAUAAAUAAAACGCACAAACAAAAUUAUAUGUUUUAUUGAAACUAUUACAAAUACAGUUUAUAAGAAACUUUUGAAUAAUUUAAAUUUAAUUUAAAUGAUUUUAUUGAUAGUGCCCUUUAAUUGUUUUGAGAUACUCCUUUAACAUACAAUGUGGUUCUUGUCAGUUAAACGUGAUAAAAGAAAUUAUGCACUCUUAAUAGUUUCCAUAUUUUUUAUUUAUUUAUUUGUGACAUGAUUUUUUCUAAUAAUUGAUCUUAUUUUUCACAGUUAGCAAACAAAAUCAACAAGCAGGUAUAGUUGCGGUAAGAAAUAUAGUAGAAUCUAGCUAGAACGAUAUAGCAGAACAGUAGUUCUGAUUUAAGAUAUAGUGCGGCGGCUGGUUGUUCUGAUAAUUAAUAUAUAAUUAAAAAUAUUUAUUUUUUACUUAGGUAAAUACCUUUAACCUAUUGCCUGCAGGCAACGCGCCUCUCGCGUUUUGACGAACUUUGUUUAUGUACCGGCAACGAACCUCUCGCGUUCUUCAUAUGAUUCAUCAUUCAUCUUAUGGGUCUAAUAUUUGGCAGUGGGUGGCAGUCAAAAGGUUAUUAAAGCAGGACGUGUCGUAUGUGCUCAAAUUAAUUUUGACCAUUUAUAUACAUUUUACCUUACUCCCCUCUUACUGCAUGCUUUCAUUGAUAACUGAUGUAGAAAUUAUUUUGUUAUUGUUAAACUUAUUAAUACAUAAAUUUAUGUAAAAAAUAGGUUCAAACUUAAAAUUAACGUAAGGAUACGGUUCAAAUUUUUUUAAAUUCAGCAAAAAAUGUAAGCAUGUCCCCCUCCUUUUUGUUUAUCUCAAAAAUACAAGACCAAAACAUAUAAAAACUUUUUUAAACGAGAUUCUUUUCAUUUUUACACUUGUAUUUUGUAUUGCAUUAUUACAUUGUAUUACAUUCGUCAUUUGUAUUUUGAAAUACUAAUUGCAUAACACAACAAUUAACAAGGAAUCUCUUAUAAUACUUAUACGCUUAAUUCAUUUUCUCUUCUUCCGUAUUUUCUGAGUCACUAUCAUCAUUCGAUUCAAUAAUAAAUUUAUUUCCACCAUUAAUGUGGAAGUGUCUAAUCUUCUUAUAGUAUUCUUCAACUUUGAUAACUUUGGCGAUUUUUUUCUGCCAGUCUUCUUUGGUAAUAUUAGAUACUUCUUUUUUAAUUAUAGUCGGUUAACUAAACUCAGACAUAACUGGCUAGUGAUUUUUAAGUAAUUUUGCCAAUUUGGUAAAAUUGACAAAACAAAAUAAUUACUAAAUAGUUAAUAAUUACUAAAUAGUCAGUAAUUUUGCCAAUUUUGGCAAAAUUGGCCAAAAACAAAAAAUUACCUACUAAAAUCACUAGCCAGUUGUGUCUGAGUUUAGCGCGAACCGACUAUAACUCAGUUACCUUCUUAUCCAAUUUGGAAAAUAUAUUUGCACUCCUGAUACUUGGGUUUUAAUUAUCCCAAAUUAACUCUAUAGAAAUGGUACCACAAAAAUAGGGGGGAAGUCUCAAUAUAGUAUGUCCAUACUUUUCGGUAAUACUCUCUAGGGCGUAUAAUUUGUUAAAUUGCUUCGUGUGUAGAACUUCAAGUUGUUUUUUUUUAUAAAAAUAUUAGAAAGGCAAAUCAUUUUCCAUUCAAAAUCUUUACCGUUCAAUAAGAUGUCUUAGUAAGCUGAGUAAGCUUAGUAAGCUAUUUGACUCCUCCAAGUUUGGAAUCAGUGAGUUUUCAAACCAAUCUUGAACAUAUCAGCUUCCACAGUAGAUGGUAGUCAACGUUACAACUACCUAUUUUUUUCCAACAUAAUUUUAAAGCAUUCGGAGCCCAUCCCUCACUUAUUUCGCAAUGUAUAAUAAUUAGCCGCGAUCUUUUAUUUACAUGCAUUUUUGAUAUGCACAUGUUUAACCAUCUGUCCAUCCUUUCUUAUCUGUAUCGUGGGUAUCACACCAAAAUUUCGUCUAAAUAGUAAAUUGCCUCAGUUCAGGCCUACAAAAAUGUAGUAAUUUUUCUAGGUCUAUAUUACGUCUCUUGACUAUUCUUUGAAUUUCCAUAACUGGUUGACGUUUAUUUAUUGUUUUAAAUUUAAACCCCAUUUUCUUUAUCCAAUUUUAAAGAGUUUUUCCGAUUUAUUUCGUAAUAUUUCUAUUGUAGGUAUUUCAUUGCUUCUGUAGCAAUCGUAGAUUGUGGUUUUCAAUAGUUUUGUAAGAUAAGCAUCUGUAGUUCUUAAAAAUGUGUAGUUACAUCACUUCUUGCGGUGAAAGGGUUCAUUUUUAAUUAUUUUGUACCUAGUUGAAAGUGGAAUUUCUGUUAAAUCAGAAGUUACUUUUUUUUUAGGAAUCACAUUGACUGCGGCACUGCUACAUCACUAUUCAAAAUAAUUAAAUUAGGGCAAACAACAUUCUACACUCUACUAACGAACCGCUCCCCAACUAUUAUCCCAACCGCUUAACUGCAUCCGGUCGGUCGUAAAAAAGAAGCGCUGCAUCAAACGUCGCCGCAUUUAGAGUUCUACUAUAUAUGUUACCGCUACUUUAUUUUGUAAUUCUCUCUUAAGGAGGUAGGGGCAAAGUCUUGGUCCAAUGCUAUUUAAAUCCAUUAAUUUUUUUCUAAUCCUGAGAAAACUAAUAGGUAUUUUUGAAAAAUUUAAACGCAGAAUGAAAAAUUACAUUAUUACCGAGGGCCUGAAGUCCCUAAAAACUUCUAUAAUGUUUAUUUUAGUAAGUUACAGGGGAGAAAAAAAAAAGAGAAAAUUUAGUGUGAUGUUUAAUUUUAAAUAUUUCACUUAAAAGAAACUUUUUGUUUAUUUUAAGGGACUUUCUAAUCUUUCAUUCUGCUUUUAAAUUUUUUAAAAAUAUUUAUUGGUUUUCUCAGGAUUCGAAAAAAAUGACUGCAUUUAAAUAGAAUUGGACCAAGAUUAAUCACGAUAUCCCUUUAAUGGUUAUUUGAAAUAAAUAAGGUAUAUCUCUAUAUUGUCACAGAUAUUUAAGUAGGUCGCACAUUAUAGAGGAGCGGAAAUUCUGAACCUCCGCACAUAAGCAUUGAAAAUUUUAUUUAUAUAUGAGUAAUUUAUUGUCGCCUCAAUGGCUUAGCUGGCCAGUACUUUCACUUCAUUGUGAGUAGUUUAGCGGGCACAUGGUUCAAUCAAUACACUUACUAGUGUUAUAUUUCACUCACUGCUCUCAUUUAUUCGAUCGUCUUUCUUCUUUUUUUGUCCAAUUGAUUUCAUUUUCCUUGUAGUCUUUUCUUCUGUUAAACUCUUAAUUGUUUUGGGAUUUUCUAAUUAGAUAUUACUAAUUGGAAUAUAUAAUUAGAUGUGUACCAGCAUUUGUCAAUAGAGGUUCUUGAUUUAUCUGUUGUCUAAUUUCUUCAUUUGUGUAUCUAUCUAUUUUGGUAUUUAAGUCAUUUCAUUUCCUUGGCUAUUAUCUUGCUUUCAUGUUUUUUUCUAUAUUAUUCAUGUGUCACACGCCAUGUGUUACACGCAUGGUCAAUAGAUGGGAUAACUUUUGUGUUAAAAACUAUCAAGUUCAACAUUUGUAUGUUUUUUUUUUCGAAUUUAUUUUGUUUUUGCUAUAUCUAGGAAUAUUUUCAAUCAUGGUCCCUAGAUAAUCAUGUGAUUCUACUGAUUGCAAUUCUUUCGCUUUGGAUUCCUUUAUUUUGUUUUUGUUUUCAUUAUUUAUUAUUAUGUUCUUCUUUUUGUUCUUAAUUCAGACGAAACACUUCAAUCCCUGGCACCUAAGCAUAAUACCUUUGUACCAAAUCCUAUUUACUUUCCAUUAAAUUCCAAUAGGUCAUGUGGCCCCAAUGAAGGCCAACAAUUUCCUCAUUGGUAGUUUAAUGAUCUCUUCUGGUCCAAGCCUCAGCACGUUACCAUAGCAUAGGAUGUGUAUGGGAGUGGCAAUCUCUUCUUCCAUUUCUUAUUUUCCGCGCCAUGGGUAAUUCACCUUAUGCUCCUUCUCAGAGACAUCUUUCAGUACGUCACCACAGUUUUUCGAUUUCUUUCUAACGCAUUAAGUUGGAAGUGGCAGAUCUCAGAGACUUCUUUCAGUGCGUCACAGUUUUUCGAUUUCUUUCUAACGCAUUAAGUUGGAAGUGGCAGAAAAAAAGGUACGUCCGUGAUUCAAAUCAUUUAUAACAUUUAUUUUAGUUGUUGAUAGAUGGCGCUGUAAUCGAACAAAAAAUGAUUUAUAUGUAUUAUCUAUACGACUGUAAUCUGUACAAUUUAUAAGACUAUACAAAUCAAAGAACGUUCCUUUUUAUAAAUGAAAUAAACACAAUUGAUUUGUUUUUAUACCAAAUUACAAUUACGAUUCUGACAACUGUCAGAUUUAACUAAAUUGUCAUGCUAUGAUUCUCUAAAUUCUUAAAAUCAUAUAUUACAUCAUUAAUGACACACUGGAAGACUGAGAAGAACUUUUAAUUAUUAUAGUCGUAUAGAUAUGUAAUAGGUAAAUACCUAACUCUUUUUUCCGAUUAUAGCGCCAUCUACCAACAACUGGAAUAAAUAUUAUAAAUGUGUAUGUAUCACGGACCUACCUUUUUUUCUGUCACUUGUGACGCACUGAAAGAUGCCUCUGAGAAGGAGUAUACCUAUUUUCUAUAGGUGUUUUCUUAAACGGCAAUUUCCAAUCACCAUGAUGGUGACCGUUUUAAUCUCUCGUUUAUUGAGUUUCAUCAAAUUCUCGGAGAGUUUUUAUCAAUAUUCUUCAUUAUUUUCUUAGUCUGGAUUUGUCCUUAAGUGGCUCUCCAUUUUUUUGUAAUGAUUCUUUUUUAAGCCACAAUUGAUUUUAAUGAAAAUUCCAUUUUAUAAUUGUUUCUGACGUUUCAAUUUCCACUCAAGAUAUUGUUUUCAAAAAAGAAUAUUUUGAAAAAACUUGCCAAAAAAUAUAAUUAAAAGUUUAGCGCUUAUGUUUUUCAAAACUGACGCGUGACUUACUUGGCUUAGAUCUUGUAGGCAAAUAGCCAUGCUUUUAGUUGAAAAAUUCUGAUUAUUUUGUACGUUUAUGUAUUGUGUAUAUGUGUUGUAUGUGUUUGUGUAUUAUUGUAGAUUAUGUGUUUCCGACUUUCUAUUAAUCCGCCCAUGUCGGUAUAUUCUUGUUGCUGAGUUCUUCUUUUAAUAUUGGCAACCAGAACCUGCUACCGUCUACUGAUGGGUUUGCUAUACAUUUUUCUUCAUUAAGUAGGUUGAGACCUCUUUUUAAAAUUUUUCUCUUUUUCAUGUCUAUUUCUUUCAUGAUUAUUUGGAUCAAGAGCUAGUAACGUUGGAAAAAAAAUCAUUUUAAGACGGCUGAUUCUUUCAUAUAUUGUUCCCUAUGCUUCCUCGAACACCGUACCGACCAUCUGGCUACUGAUACAGGUUGCGUUCAUUAUUGCGCAGCACUCUUGUACAGGUAAACAUAUCGAAUUUAAACUUAUUAUAAGACGAAAAAUUUUUUUGUCAUUACUUUUUAAACAUUAUUAGAAAUAUGAACUGUAAUUGGUUGAACAUUAUUAAUUGAACAUUUCUGUGGUUUAAAAAGUGAUGACAAAAAAAUUUUUCGUCCUAAAAUAAUUUAAAUUCAAUAUACAGGAUGAUUGAUGAGUGUGAUAAAGCUCAGUAGAUCAGCUAUAGUAAUAGAUAGCAAUAAAAGUUAAUAAUAAAAAUUGUGGCCAACUUUCAGCUUCACAUUACGAAAUUAGUUAGAUUGUUACAGGGUGUUCGAUAACAUAGUGGCAGACCAGUUUUUUUUAAAUGGAACACCCUAUAUUCUAUUUUAUAUUCGAAAUCCCCUUAACACCCCCCAUCACAAAAAUAUAAAGGUUUGUUAUGUUAUAUAGGGCUUUAACAAAGUUAUAACCAAUUUUUUAUGAAAAUCGUAAUAAGUUCAGCUCCCUGUAUAAAUAAAAAAAGCACAACAGCGAUGGUUUAUUAGUGCCAUAUUUUUUUGUUGAUUGUGAAAAUUUUUAAGAAUUGUUGAUAUUGCUAAUUUUUCUUAUAUCGAAUACAGGGUGAGUCAAAACGCAAGUACAUUCUUUUCUCACAAAUUUUAAAUAGAACACCCUGUACUUUAUAUUAUUAUCGAAACGUAUCAUUACCGUACUUUAAUUUUUGUAUAAUAUUCCCUAUGCCUAAAUUUGUCAGUUUUAUUAUUAGUGUUGUUCUAUUUAAAAUUAAUGUGAAAAUAAUGUACUUGCGUUUUGACUCACUCUGUAUUCGAUAUAAAGAAAAUUAGCAAUAUGCUUCUUUUCAUGAGCAUUUUUCAGUGCGUCACAAAUGAUAGAAAAAAAGGCAAGUCCGUGAUAAUAUACAUUUUAGUGACAUGUUAGUUAAAUCUGACAGUUGUCACAUUUUAUUUGCAAUUUGGCAUAAAAUCAAAUCAAUUGUGUUUAUUGCAUUUAUAAAAUGGUAUUUUCUUUGAUUUGUAUAGUCUUAUAAAUUGUUCAGAUUAUAUUCGUAGAUAUAUUACAUAAUUCGAAAAUUAUUUUAUUUUCGAUUAUGGCGCCAUCUAUUGACAACUAGAAUAAAUGUUACCGACCUGCGUUUUUUUCUGUCACAUACAAUUUAAUGCGUUAGAAAGAAAUCGAAAAACUGUGACGCACUGAAAAAUCCUCAUUAGAAAAAGCAUAUCAACCAUUUUUAUAAAUUUUGACAAUCAACAAAAAAAUAUGGCACCAAUAAACCAUUGCUGUUGUGCUUAUUUUUAUUUAUACAGGGAGCUGAACUUAUUACGAUUUUCAUAGAACAUUGGUUAUAACUUUGUAAAUACCCUAUAUAACAUAACAAACCUUUAUAUUUUUGUGAUGGGGAAGUUAAGAUGAUUUCGAAUAUAAAAUAAAAUAUGAGGUGUUCCAUUUAAAAAAACAAAAGUUUGGUCUGCCACUAUGUUAUCGAACAUCCUGUAGCAUUCUAACUAAUUUUGUAAUGUGAAGCGCAAAGUUAGCUACAAUUUUUGUUAUUAACUUUUAUUGCUAUCUAUUACUAUAGCGGAUCUACUAAACUUUUUCACACUAAUCAAUCACCCUGAUUUUGUGUUUACCUGUACAGGUGUGCUGCGCAGUAAUGAACGCAACCUGUAUCAGCAGCCAGAUGGCCGGUACGGUGUUCGAGAAAGCAUAGGGAACAAUAUAUGAAAGAAUCAGCCGUCUUAAAAUGAUUUCUCGAAAACGUUGCUAGCUCUUAGACCAAUUUGAUGUAUCUUUCCAUUGGACUCUGUGGUCAUUGUCCCAGGCAUGUUUGCAUAUCUGUGAUUGGUCGAAGUCUCUGUUUUUGAUGUAUGUUUAAUGCUUGUUUAUCCUGACACUUGGUGGUCUUGCGGUUCCUCCCACAUAGAAAUUGUUGCAUUGGCAGGGUAUUUUAUAGAUGCAGUUCUUUGAUCGUUUUUGUGUGUUGUUAGGUUUGGUUUUGGACAGGAUAGAUCAUCUCAGCGUAUUGCUUGUUUUGAAUGUUGAUUGCGAUUCUACGUCGCGAGCGUUCAUACACAUUUCAUUGAAUAGUGUAUUCCGUUCUUAUCCAUUCGCCGCUGUUACAGCCCGCGGUAGUGUGGGGGUUUUUAGUUAACACAUAUUCUUCUUCUUCAUGUGCUUUGUCCCUUGCGGACGCGUUGGCUAUUAUCAUACCACUUUUAAUUUUGUUUGCGGCGUUUCUGAAUAACUCAAUCGAUGUUAGUAAUACAAACCUUUGGCGUAAGUUUUGAAGCCAUGAGUGUUUUCUUCUUCUGGGUUCGCGUUUGCUCUCUAUUUUACCCUAUUCUCAGUUGGAAUAUAUGAUAUUUAUCAUGUCUCAUAAUAUGACCAAGGUAUUUAAGUGUCCGUAUCUUAAUUGUGAAAGAUAUUUCUUUUUGUUUUCCCAAUCGGCGCAAUACCUCUACGUUGGUGGUGUGGGUCGUUCAGGAUAUUUUGAGGAUACGUCGGUACACCCACAUUUCGAAUGCUUCUAGCUUUUUCAUUGUUUCCGUUAUUGUCCAGGCCUCUGCGCCAUACAGCAAGACUGGAAAUACAUAGCAUUUUAACAGCCGUAUUUUUAGCGGUAGAGUAUGUCGCAAUGGGUGAAUAUAUUUCUCAUGUUGUUAAAUGUUGUUCUGGCCUUUUCAAUUCUAGAUCAUAAUUCGGUUGUUUGACCCCAUUUCGAGUUGACGACUGUUCCAAGGUAUACAUACGCGUCUACGUGUUGAAUUAAUUGGUUUUUUAAAAACAUGCUUUUAAAAAAUUUCCAUUUUAUUCCGUUUUUACAAUAAUUGUUAAUGUGCGGCCUGUUUUGUAUCAAUAUUCAGUUAUAUUUCGAAAUGAAUGUACACAUACAUUAUUUAUUUAUUUUAUUAUAUUUUUAUAUAAUAAUUGAUGUAUGAAACUAGUAUAGAAUUUUUCGAGAUAUAAAGUUAUUAUGGGAGAGUUCUACAUAAUACGUUUCAAGAUGUUGAAUACUUACUUAAAUUUGAUUCAAAGGUAUAAAUAUAGACUUAAUUUUUAAAAAUAUAUACUUUAUACAUAUUAUUAACAUCCAUAAUGAGAUGUCUAAGACCCGUAGAUCAGCUGCUCAUAGUUUGAUAAAAUUGUUUUGUCUACACUGAUCAGAAGGAUAAAUUAUUUAGUAAGCAAACACUAUUUUUAUGUUAAAUAUUUUUUCUUAAAAAUAUGUGAUUUUAAACGUCGAAUUUUUAUAGUUUUUUUUUUUAAUCUCAAGUGGUAUGUUUGGUACCUAUGAAAUUAGCUAGAAAUAGUCUUACUAAAUAGUUGAUUGAUGUACCGUGAAAUAGUGUAUAUAGCGACAGUUCUUUGUGUUUUAGUUACCUCAGCUACUGCUGUAUGGUAUGGUACUGCCUUACAAGUUAAUUUACUGGAAAACAAUCAUUCAUUCAUAUUACAAAUAAAUAAAUAUAACUAUUGCUAUUCAUUCCAUGAAAUUUUUUGUAAACUUUUCCAAUAUAUCCUUUUUCAUAAAGCUUAAAAACCUUUAGAGCAUAUUAUAAUCAAAAUGAAUUUUUGCCCAUAACUUUGAGAAUGCCAAAGUCCCCAAGUGAAAACUUUGACAAAUGAAGACCACAGGGAAAGAACUUGAUAAGUCCACUUUUUAACAUUUUUUGUUUUAAUACCACUUUGUAGCUUUAAUUACAUAGUUUCUAAGAGUAACACAAUACAGAGUAUUAACUUGAUAAGUCAAAAGAUAUAAGCGUUUAAAAAAUCCUGUACAGGAAAAGAACUUGACAUGUCCAUUCCAAACAGGGGAAAACGUUGAUAUAUCCAGGUACUCCUAGUAGUCUGCAACAAUGGCAUGCGACAUUGGAUAAUCUGAUUUCUACAGUUUCUGUGUUUCCAGAUUUCUGUGUUUUAUUAUUAUUAUUAUGUAUAUAAGGUGCCCAAAAAAAAAUUUGAGAAUUAUAUGAAUUGACGCAAAAAGAAGAAUGUAUAUAAUUUAUCUAACUCAAAAUACAUUCUAUUGUUGUCAGAAAAUAGAAAAAAAUGUUAAUUUGCUUUUCGCUUAAAUUAAAUAUUCAAACUGGAUAACCAAAAUAGAUAGCCAAUUAUUUUAUAGGAAAAGAAAUUGGUAAGUCCUUCUUUAGGUACAGGGGAAAAACUUGUUAAGUCCAUGUAGAUGAAUAAAAACCAAUUAAUACCAUGAAUAUGCAAUAUAAAUUUAAAAAAACUAAAACGUAAACCAACAACCAAUAGUGUAUCAAUUUUUUUUCUUUUUAUUACUACAUAAUUAAUUGUAAGAUGUAUUUUAACAUAAUCACAGUUUUAUAAAAAUGUUCUGAACAAAACCAAAAAUGUGACUUAUCAAGUUAUUUUCCUGUGGUCUUCAAAUGAUUUUCCUUCAAGCCUUAAUUGCCAAUGAAUCCUCUUCAGAAAAACUCUCCCUCCAUUCUGCCUCACUUUGUGGGCAGAUGAGACUCUUCAGAAGUUUAUCAUCAUGAUCUUUAACAGGUUUUUUCCUUAAUGUGCUGCUCUUUGUGCUUUUGUUCUCGUUGCUGAGUAAUGUUGUUCAUUCAUUUUUGUCAUUAGAAACCUCUGCUUUGAAAUCUACUGCUUUGACGUUUUUACCAGAAAGGUCUGAUACUUUGGUUAUUUUUUGUCUUGUCUUUGAUUUAUCAAAUUGUCUUGCUUCCAUGUGCUGUUAGAAGCUGGCAACUAAGGCUUCAGCGGCAGUAUCAUUGUUAAUUUUAGAAUCUUUGGAGGAAGGCAGCAUGUUUACAACUUUGUUCAUAUCCAGUGGAAGAAUGCCACAUUUUUUGAAACCAGAAACAUUAUUUUCUUUUACUGACACUUAUGGCUCUUUAAGGAGAUUUGGACAUCGAUCUUUUGACAAAGAUGCUUCACUUCUUUCCGAGUCUUGUUUGCAUUUUAGAGGAGUGGAACUCCAAUUCUGUUGUGGACGGAGAAAAGCCACGUAAAGAGGUUGUUUAAGAUGUGUAGAGUUGCUUGGCAAAAAAACAAAUUUGAUGUUAUGUUAUUGGCAAAUUUUAAUAAUUUCUUCAGAUGGGUGUGGCGCUAAAUUAUCGCCUAACAAGAUCUUUACUCCAUCGAGUUUUGAUAAAUGAGGUUAGUUCCAUCAUCAGCAACAGCAAACAUAACCGACAUGGAAGCUUUUAUGACGCCCAUUAUUCUUUCGAGAUACUUACAACCCCUCAGAGCAAUAACCACUUUUUGUGGGUCAUUGCAUAAAUUGGUCUUAUCAUAAUUAAUGAUAUUGUUUGCUGGAAUAUCUUUUAAUUAUAUACUUAGAUGAUCCAAGUAUUCAUUGAUAGUGUGUUCAGUAAUAACCACUUUAAACCUUUUUUUAUUUUGACAUAAUGCACAUCAGUAAAAUCUCUUUUAUUAUCAUUCGUAAAGUAUGUGUCGCUAUUCACCCCAGGUUAUGUAAAAACUUGACAUAACCUGAAAAUACUUUCUUAACAAAAGUUAUUAUUUUUUGUGUGUAUAAAACGAUUUGAGUUUUAUUUAUAGGAUACUCUUCUAGAGAGCAAUCUGUAAAGCAAUACAGUAAAAGAAUUAGAAUAUAAUUGUCAUACUUACAGGCAAAGUUUUGGUUGGGUGAAAAUUGCAGAUUUUUUCAGCUGAAAGUCGGUCAACAAUACCACUCAAACAGCAAUGCCAACAUAACAAAAAUAAUUUCCCUUAUAAAAUAGACAAUUACCAUUAUUUUAGUGCAAAAAUUCCCUUCAUAUUUCAAAUAUCUGAAAAGUUUCCGAUUUUUAAACUUUUUAUGAAAUUUUGUUGCAAUAAUUGGCCGCGGUUCUUGCUAUAUACACCAUUUUAUGGUACCUAAAUUAUUGUCACAUUUUGACAUCAAAAUUGUGUAGGUAGUUAAAAUAUAUAUACAUAUUAAUGAGACUCACUGUAUAUAUUAACAGUUAUUGAAUGGAUGCUUGUUUUCAGGCUUGAAUAGAGUGAAUAUGUCUUGGGUUCGAAUUUUUUCUUUCGUUACCUCGUAUGUGCUUUCAAAACCUUGUUGUCCUAUGAAUCAUCUUAGGGAAACAUCCACUCUAUACAUAGUGGAAUAGAGGCCUUAUUUUCUGGUUGUUGCAAAUACAUGAGAUUUAAACCAUUUUUGUCUAGUUUCUAAUUUACUAUUUUAGGUGAUGUAUAUUCUGUAUAUAUGUUAUUUAUUAUUAUUUGUUUUUUAAUAGACAAUUCUUAGUAAUUUCUGCUUGAGAUUGUCAUUUAGUUGUAUUGCACAUUCUGAUGUUUAUUUAUCUGUGUUAUAUGUUGGUUUAUGAUAAGUAGAAAAUUUAUGUCUGUGAUCAUUUUUGUGGCUACCAAAUUAAGAAAAUUCUUACGUUUUGUAUUUUAUUGUAAAAUUAAAUGAAUAUUGUUUGCGUUUCUGUCAUAGCUAGUUUGUUUAUACAAAUAUUGAGCACUGUUGGCGUUUUGAUAAGAUUUUGAUGAAGCCAGUAUUAUUGUUUGUAAUCAAAUGUAUCAAAAGAAUCUGAUUGAUACAAUUUAAUCAUACAAAUUUAGAAAAUAGCAUUGUUCAGUAACUAAUUUAAAAUUAUACAUAUGUAUUUUGAUUUAACUACAGGAAAGGAAUCACUAUUCGCGGUGUGCAAGUACUUGGAAAGGGAAACGAGAAACGACCGUGCGCGAGUCGCGUAGAAAUAUUGCAACUAUCUUAAAUAAUUCAUAUUGUCAAUUGAAAUUGUCAAAUUGACGUAUAUUUCAUACCUUCUGUCAUUGACGCAGAAAAAUUAUAUAUUGCUCCACAAUAUUGAUAUGAUAUGCAAUUAUUAUAUAAAGGUAAAUUUAAUUAAUUGUAUUUUGCUUGCAGUACUGGAUUUUAAUAACUGAUUUUAUUUACUACAUACAAUUGUUUACGUUUGCGAAACAUAACCUGCAUCUUAUUUUUUCUUCUUAUUAUUUUUUUGGACUAUGGUCUUGACAAUUAUCCAGUAACCAGGACUAAUAUAAUUGGCCAAUAUAAUUAAAAGGGCGAAUAAAAGUACAGAGCGUAGAAAUAGAGGUCGCUUUGCCGAACUUGCACGGUCCCAAUAUGGGUGUCAAUACAGAUAUAUUAAACUUGUAGAACUUUCUCAUAAGACAUUUUUGCUUGUAGAAGAGUUAUUUAUUUUGAAAAAAUAAGUUGUAAUAAAGAGUUCUUCAUUUUAGAA
rnacentral:misc_RNA from 1 species